rnacentral:tRNA from 1 species
UCCGCGCAUAGCUCAGUUGGAUAGAGCAACGGCCUUCUAAGCCGUGGGUCGAAGGUUCGAAUCCUUCUGCGUGGACCAU